ACUCAUCAACCCCCAUCGUUUUGUGCGGUGGAGGGUUGGAUCCUGGGGGCUUGCUGCCGAGAGGUGGCUCCCCUCAAAUGUGUCGGUUGGGCCUGUGGGUCGGACUCGAUUGGGCGUUGUACCAUCCUCGCUCUAACGAGAUGUUCCCCUUCUGUGCCCUUCCUCGACCUGCCGUUCGAGUGGCGGUCAACUAACUUUGAA
rnacentral:misc_RNA from 1 species